rnacentral:rRNA from 1 species
UACGAAGGGGGCUAGCGUUGCUCGGAAUCACUGGGCGUAAAGGGCGCGUAGGCGGCCAUUCAAGUCAGGGGUGAAAGCCUGUGGCUCAACCACAGAAUUGCCUUUGAUACUGUUUGGCUAGAGACCGGAAGAGGUAAGUGGAACUGCGAGUGUAGAGGUGAAAUUCGUAGAUAUUCGCAAGAACACCGGUGGCGAAAGCGGCUCACUGGACCCGAUCUGACACUGAUGUGCGAAAGCUAGGGUAGCAAACGGG